rnacentral:rRNA from 1 species
AAGGACGUGCUAAUCUGCGAUAAGCGUCGGUAAGGUGAUAUGAACCGUUAUAACCGGCGAUUUCCGAAUGGGGAAACCCAGUGUGAUUCGUCACACUAUCAUUAACUGAAUCCAUAGGUUAAUGAGGCGAACCGGGGGAACUGAAACAUCUAAGUACCCCGAGGAAAAGAAAUCAACCGAGAUUCCCCCAGUAGCGGCGAGCGAACGGGGAGCAGCCCAGAGCCUGAAUCAGUGUGUGUGUUAGUGGAAGCGUCUGGAAAGGCGUGCGAUACAGGGUGACAGCCCCGUACACAAAAAUGCACAUACUGUGAGCUCGAUGAGUAGGGCGGGACACGUGGUAUCCUGUCUGAAUAUGGGGGGACCAUCCUCCAAGGCUAAAUACUCCUGACUGACCGAUAGUGAACCAGUACCGUGAGGGAAAGGCGAAAAGAACCCCGGCGAGGGGAGUGAAAAAGAACCUGAAACCGUGUACGUACAAGCAGUGGGAGCACGCUUAGGCGUGUGACUGCGUACCUUUUGUAUAAUGGGUCAGCGACUUAUAUUCUGUAGCAAGGUUAACCGAAUAGGGGAGCCGAAGGGAAACCGAGUCUUAACUGGGCGUUAAGUUGCAGGGUAUAGACCCGAAACCCGGUGAUCUAGCCAUGGGCAGGUUGAAGGUUGGGUAACACUAACUGGAGGACCGAACCGACUAAUGUUGAAAAAUUAGCGGAUGACUUGUGGCUGGGGGUGAAAGGCCAAUCAAACCGGGAGAUAGCUGGUUCUCCCCGAAAGCUAUUUAGGUAGCGCCUCGUGAAUUCAUCUCCGGGGGUAGAGCACUGUUUCGGCAAGGGGGUCAUCCCGACUUACCAACCCGAUGCAAACU